rnacentral:rRNA from 1 species
AGCGAACGCUGGCGGCAUGCCUAACACAUGCAAGUCGAACGAACUCUUCGGAGUUUUUGGCGGCCGGGGGUGUCACCCGUGGGAACGUGCCUUUAUGUUCGGACUACCUCUGGGACACUUGUUCUAAUACCGAAUCUGCCCUUCUGGGGGAAGAUUUAUUGCCUUUAGGGCUGCCCGCGUCUGAUUAGCUUGUUCGGUCGGUAAAGGCUCACCACGGCGAGGAUCAGUAGCUGGUCUGAGAGAAUGCUCAGCCACAUUGGGAGUGAGACCCGGCCCGAACUCCUACGGGAGGCAGCAGAGGGGAAUCGUGCGAAAUGGGGGAAAGGAUGACGGAGCCAUGCCGCGUGAAUGAUGAAGGUCGUAGGAUAGUAAAAUGCUUUCAACGGGGAAGAUAAUGACGGUACCCGGAGAAGAAGCCCCGGCUAACUUCGUG